rnacentral:lncRNA from 1 species
CUGAGAGUUGGUACUUCAGAGGGAAGGGUAAAGAGAAGCUUCCCUGGACAAGUCCAUCUUGGCCUGAAAUUUGGCACCAGGAGAUAGAGCAUUUAACGCUGCACUUGAGUGGGGGCAGACUAGAACCUCCUGCAGGCUGAACCUGUGCUCUUGUGAGGACCACUUGCAAGCCAAUAACAGGCCCAGGAAACACAUUUUAUCUGGCUGUGGCUGAGCUGUCGGGAGUAAAUGGAAGAUCUUAGGUGCUUCUGGCAGAAGUGCCACACCACUCUUCAAGCUUCUUCAUCUGCCAAUCAGUUACCUAGAUCACCUAUUGCUGCUUCUGAAAAUCCUGGCUGAUGUCCCCUGAGAUGUAUUAUAGCCACCUCCUGGGAAUCAGCACGCAGCAUCAUACCUGAUGUUCUGAAGAAAACAAUUCCAUCCCAACUGAAACCAAGACAACCUCUUAAAUCAUUC